GGUUGACUUUACCUGUGGAAUUUCAAGAAUAUUUACAUACCUGAAAGAAUAUUUAGAUUUUUUAACAUUCACCAAAUUUUGUAAGCACGCAGGAGCUAUGUUGUUUAUAAUUUUAAAAGUUUCUAGAGCCAUUGUUCUUAUCCGUCUGAUCUGCAAGGAGGGCACCUUAUCUUUAAGUAAGAGGUCCUCGUAGGAGCUGGUAAAAUUCU
rnacentral:lncRNA from 1 species